UGUGUGUUAGUGGAAGCGUCUGGAAAGGCGCGCGAUACAGGGUGACAGCCCCGUACACAAAAAUGCACAUGCUGUGAGCUCGAUGAGUAGGGCGGGACACGUGGUAUCCUGUCUGAAUAUGGGGGGACCAUCCUCCAAGGCUAAAUACUCCUGACUGACCGAUAGUGAACCAGUACCGUGAGGGAAAGGCGAAAAGAACCCCGGCGAGGGGAGUGAAAAAGAACCUGAAACCGUGUACGUACAAGCAGUGGGAGCACGCUUCGGCGUGUGACUGCGUACCUUUUGUAUAAUGGGUCAGCGACUUAUAUUCUGUAGCAAGGUUAACCGAAUAGGGGAGCCGAAGGGAAACCGAGUCUUAACUGGGCGUUAAGUUGCAGGGUAUAGACCCGAAACCCGGUGAUCUAGCCAUGGGCAGGUUGAAGGUUGGGUAACACUAACUGGAGGACCGAACCGACUAAUGUUGAAAAAUUAGCGGAUGACUUGUGGCUGGGGGUGAAAGGCCAAUCAAACCGGGAGAUAGCUGGUUCUCCCCGAAAGCUAUUUAGGUAGCGCCUCGUGAAUUCAUCUCCGGGGGUAGAGCACUGUUUCGGCAAGGGGGUCAUCCCGACUUACCAACCCGAUGCAAACUGCGAAUACCGGAGAAUGUUAUCACGGGAGACACACGGCGGGUGCUAACGUCCGUCGUGAAGAGGGAAACAACCCAGACCGCCAGCUAAGGUCCCAAAGUCAUGGUUAAGUGGGAAACGAUGUGGGAAGGCCCAGACAGCCAGGAUGUUGGCUUAGAAGCAGCCAUCAUUUAAAGAAAGCGUAAUAGCUCACUGGUCGAGUCGGCCUGCGCGGAAGAUGUAACGGGGCUAAACCAUGCACCGAAGCUGCGGCAGCGACACUAUGUGUUGUUGGGUA
rnacentral:rRNA from 1 species